rnacentral:rRNA from 1 species
AAGUCUGACCUGCCCACUGAGUUUAUUUAAAUGGCCGCAGUAUUUUGACUGUGCAAAGGUAGCAUAAUCAUUAGUCUUUUAAUUGAAGGCUGGUAUGAAUGGUUGGACGAGGUAUAAGCUGUUUCAUUUAAAUUUGUAGUAGAAUUUUAUAUUUUAGUUAAAAAGCUAAAAUUUAAUUAAAAGACGAGAAGACCCUAUAAAUCUUUAUAUUAUGUAUUAUUUAAGUUUUAUGGAUUUAUUUUAUUUUUAUAGUAUAGAAUAUUUUGUUGGGGKGAUGUUAARAUUUAAUGAACUUUUAAUUAUUUAAAAUCAUUAAUUUAUGAGUUAUUGAUCCGUUAAUAUUGAUUAUAAGAUUAAGUUACUUUAGGGAUAACAGCGUAAUUUUUUUUGGAGAGUUCAUAUCGAUAAAAAAGUUUGCGACCUCGAUGUUGGAUUAAGAGAUAAUUUUAGGUGUAGCCGCUUAAAU